rnacentral:rRNA from 1 species
ACGGGAGGCAGCAGUAGGGAAUAUUGCACAAUGGGGGAAACCCUGAUGCAGCAACGCCACGUGUGGGAAGACGCAUUUCGGUGUGUAAACCACUGUCGUGAGGGAAUAAGGCUACUUCUCGGAGUAGUUGAAUGUACCUCGAAAGGAAGCACCGGCAAACUUCGUGCCAGCAGCCGCGGUAAUACGAGGGGUGCAAGCGUUGUUCGGAAUCACUGGGCGUAAAGGGAGCGCAGGCGGAGAUGCAAGCGGACUGUACAAUACCGGGGCCCAACCCCGGACCUGCAGUCCGGACUGCACCUCUUGGAUAGUUCAGGGGCAAGCGGAAUUCCUAGUGUAGCGGUGAAAUGCGUAGAUAUCAGGAGGAACACCGGUGGCGAAGGCGGCUUACUGGGCUUUUACUGACGCUGAGGCUCGAAAGCGUGGGGAGCAAACAGGAUUAGAUACCCUGGUA